rnacentral:rRNA from 1 species
UACGCUGGCGGUAUGGCUUACACAUGCAGUCGAACGGAAACGAUGGAAGCUUGCUUCCAGGCGUCGAGUGGCGGACGGGUGAGUACGCGUAAGAAUCUGCCAGAUAGUGGGGGAUAGCCCGGAGAAAUCCGGAUUAAUACCGGCAUAAUCUCCAUGGAGUAAAGAGGGCCUCUAUUUAUAAGCUUUCGCUAUCUGAUGAGCCUGCGUAAGAUUAGCUAGUUGGUGGGGUAAUGGCCUACCAAGGCGACGAUCUUUAGCUGGUCUGAGAGGAUGAUCAGCCACAUUGGGACUGAGACACGGCCCAAACUCCUACGGGAGGCAGCAGUGGGGAAUAUUGGACAAUGGGGGCAACCCUGAUCCAGCAAUACCGCGUGUGUGAAGAAGGCCUGAGGGUUGUAAAGCACUUUCAAUUGUGAAGAAAAGUUAAUAGUUAAUACCUAUUAGCCUUGACGUUAACUUUAGAAGAAGCACCGGCUAACUCCGUGCCAGCAGCCGCGGUAAUACGGAGGGUGCAAGCGUUAAUCGGAAUUACUGGGCGUAAAGCGUGCGUAGGCGGUUGACUAAGUCGGAUGUGAAAGCCCCGGGCUUAACCUGGGAACUGCAUUUGAAACUGGUCAA